rnacentral:rRNA from 1 species
AUUGAACGCUGGCGGCGUGCCUAACACAUGCAAGUCGAGCGGUAACAGGUGUAGCAAUACAUGCUGACGAGCGGCGGACGGGUGAGUAACGCUUGGGAAUCUGCCUGUUAGUGGGGGACAACCCGGGGAAACUCGGGCUAAUACCGCAUACGCACUACGGUGGAAAGCCGGGGACCGCAAGGCCUGGCGCUAACAGAUGAGCCCAAGUCGGAUUAGCUAGUUGGUAGGGAACGGCCUACCAAGGCGACGAUCCGUAACUGGUCUGAGAGGACGACCAGUCACACCGGAACUGAGACACGGUCCGGACUCCUACGGGAGGCAGCAGUGGGGAAUAUUGGACAAUGGGGGCAACCCUGAUCCAGCGACGCCGCGUGUGUGAAGAAGGCCU